rnacentral:rRNA from 1 species
UACGUAGGGGGCAAGCGUUAUCCGGAUUUACUGGGUGUAAAGGGAGCGUAGACGGAUGGACAAGUCUGAUGUGAAAGGCUGGGGCUCAACCCCGGGACUGCAUUGGAAACUGCCCGUCUUGAGUGCCGGAGAGGUAAGCGGAAUUCCUAGUGUAGCGGUGAAAUGCGUAGAUAUUAGGAGGAACACCAGUGGCGAAGGCAGCUUACUGGACGGUAACUGACGUUGAGGCUCGAAAGCGUGGGGAGCAAACAGG